UCCUACGGGAGGCAGCAGUGGGGAAUAUUGCACAAUGGGGGAAACCCUGAUGCAGCCAUGCCGCGUGUGUGAAGAAGGCCUUCGGGUUGUAAAGCACUUUCAGUAGGGAGGAAGGUAGUGUAGUUAACACCUGCAUUAUUUGACGUUACCUACAGAAGAAGCACCGGCUAACUCCGUGCCAGCAGCCGCGGUAAUACGGAGGGUGCGAGCGUUAAUCGGAAUUACUGGGCGUAAAGCGCAUGCAGGCGGCCUAUUAAGUCAGAUGUGAAAGCCCGGGGCUUAACCUCGGAAUUGCAUUUGAAACUGGCAGGCUAGAGUCUUGUAGAGGGGGGUAGAAUUUCAGGUGUAGCGGUGAAAUGCGUAGAGAUCUGAAGGAAUACCAGUGGCGAAGGCGGCCCCCUGGACAAAGACUGACGCUCAGAUGUGAAAGCGUAGGGAGCAAACAGGAUUAGAUACCCUGGUAGUCCACGCCGUAAACGAUGUCUACUUGGAGGUUGUGGCCUUGAGCCGUGGCUUUCGGAGCUAACGCGUUAAGUAGACCGCCUGGGGAGUACGGUCGCAAGAUUAAAACUCAAAUGAAUUGACGGA
rnacentral:rRNA from 1 species